rnacentral:rRNA from 1 species
UGACCUACGGGGGGCAGCAGUGGGGGAUAUUGCACAAUGGAGGAAACUCUGAUGCAGCGACGCCGCGUGAGGGAAGACGGUCUUCGGAUUGUAAACCUCUGUCUUUGGGGAAGAAAAUGACGGUACCCAAAGAGGAAGCUCCGGCUAACUACGUGCCAGCAGCCGCGGUAAUACGUAGGGAGCGAGCGUUAUCCGGAUUUAUUGGGUGUAAAGGGUGCGUAGACGGGAAAUUAAGUUAGUUGUGAAAUCCCUCGGCUUAACUGAGGAACUGCAACUAAAACUGAUUUUCUUGAGUACUGGAGAGG